GAUGAACGCUAGCUACAGGCUUAACACAUGCAAGUCGAGGGACCGGCGCACGGGUGAGUAACACGUAUCCAACCUGCCCUUUACUCGGGGAUAGCCUUUCGAAAGAAAGAUUAAUACCCGAUGUAAAGGAUGGGGAUGCGUUCCAUUAGGUUGUUGGUGAGGUAACGGCUCACCAAGCCUUCGAUGGCUAGGGGUGCUGAGAGGAAGGUCCCCCGCAUUGGAACUGAGACACGGUCCAAACUCCUACGGGAGGCAGCAGUGAGGAAUAUUGGUCAAUGGGCGUUAGCCUGAACCAGCCAAGUAGCGUGAAGGAUGAAGGCUUAUGGGUUGUAAACUGCUUUUGUAUGGGGAUAGGUACCAUACGAAUAAGGACCGGCUAAUUCCGUGCCAGCCGCCGCGGUAAUUC
rnacentral:rRNA from 1 species